rnacentral:rRNA from 1 species
AUUGAACGCUGGCGGCAUGCUUACACAUGCAAGUCGAACGAGUGGCGAACGGGUGAGUAAUACAUUGGAACGUGCCCGAGAGUGGGGGAUAACGAAGCGAAAGCUUGCUAUACCGCAUACUCACGGAGCGGCCGAUGGCCGAUUAGGUAGUUGGUGGGAUAAAAGCUUACCAAGCCGACGAUCUGUAGCUGGUCUGAGAGGACGACCAGCCACACUGGGACUGAGACACGGCCCAGACUCCUACGGGAGGCAGCAGUGGGGAAUUUUGGACAAUGGGCGCAAGCCUGAUCCAGCCAUGCCGCGUGCAGGAUGAAGGCUUCGGGUUGUAAACUGCUUUUGUACGGAACGCGGUACCGUAAGAAUAAGCACCGGCUAACUACGUGCCAGCAGCCGCGGUAUUC